GACAGAGGGUGCAAACGUUGUUCGGAAUUACCGGGCGUAAAGCGAGUGUAGGCGGUUUGAUAAGUCGGAUGUGAAAGCCCCGGGCUCAACCCGGGAAGUGCACUCGAUACUGUCAAGCUAGAGUAUCGGAGAGGUUGGUGGAAUUCUCGGUGUAGAGGUGAAAUUCGUAGAUAUCGAGAGGAACACCGGUGGCGAAGGCGGCCAACUGGACGAAUACUGACGCUGAGACUCGAAAGCGUGGGGAGCAAACAGG
rnacentral:rRNA from 1 species